CUGCAAGCGAGAGCGGCGGCGGCAGCAGCAGGCGAGGGCUGGCCCCAGGCUGGCUCGGCUCCGCGCAGCUGGGAGUGCGUGUGCGUGUACAAAGCCGGAGCCCGGGAGCUGCCCGAGGGCGGUGCUCGGCACCACAACGCCAACCUCCCCCUCCCUUCCCUGCCCUCCCCCCCCCCCCUCCCGCCGAGAUCAGUCUCUGCCACGGAAGGAGUGGGGAACCGCAGGGGACGCGGCCGGGCCGGCGCACGCUUCAGCUGCAGCCCCGCCGAGGCCGCCCAUUGGGAAGAUCCGUGCUGGCUCUCAGGGGAUUCAAAUCGGCCCUUAAUGCGGGGUAGCUCCUAACGUGGGCGCAGCUGAGCAGGGCACGGCGAUGGAGCAGCUUACGCUUAAUGCUGCUGCAGACCUCAGCCUUAAGGAACAGCCUGCUGGAAACCUUGGAGAAGUGACAAACGGGACUCAGAAGCAUGCAAGAAAAGUUACUUCUGGGCAAAACAUCAUCCAUCAGGAUACCACUUACAGUGUAUUUUGGUAGAAGUCCCCAAAUUACAGUUCUUCAAAAUUAAAAUAAAGAUCACGCAUAAUAUGGGCAGCUUGUUUCUGGAUUUCACAGAGCUCCCAUCUUUUGCUGCAAGCUGCUUCUAAUGUUGCAAUGAAAUCCAUAUUCUGCUGCUUCUACUUCUGUUUUGCACCAGGUUUCUUGUUUUUAAACAUAUUGUGUUCGAUGGGGAGUGUGACUUGACUGUCAAAUGGCAAUGCUGUAUAUGCAGCCUUUACAACUGCCAGCCUGAAUGAUUCCAUGGGUGAAAUCACAUUGGUCAGGUGGUGUUGGCAUGGUUCAUGCAGUGGGUGCAUAUUGCAUGGGGGCAGGCUGCAUUGCUGGCCCCGGGGCCUACUGACACGCAGUGCCAGGC
rnacentral:lncRNA from 1 species